rnacentral:rRNA from 1 species
GGUGAACGCUGGCGGUAGGCCUAACACAUGCCAGUCGAACGGCAGCACAGUAAGAGCUUGCUCUUACGGGUGGCGAGUGGCGGACGGGUGAGGAAUACAUCGGAAUCUACUUUUUCGUGGGGGAUAACGUAGGGAAACUUACGCUAAUACCGCAUACGACCUACGGGUGAAAGCAGGGGAUCUUCGGACCUUGCGCGAUUGAAUGAGCCGAUGUCGGAUUAGCUAGUUGGCGGGGUAAAGGCCCACCAAGGCGACGAUCCGUAGCUGGUCUGAGAGGAUGAUCAGCCACACUGGAACUGAGACACGGUCCAGACUCCUACGGGAGGCAGCAGUGGGGAAUAUUGGACAAUGGGCGCAAGCCUGAACCAGCCAUACCGCGUGGGUGAAGAAGGCCUUCGGGUUGUAAAGCCCUUUUGUUGGGAAAGAAAAGCAGCAGGUUAAUACCCCGCUGUUCUGACGGUACCCAAAGAAUAAGCACCGGCUAACUUCGUG